rnacentral:tmRNA from 1 species
GGGGGCGAAAAGGUCUCGACGGGGGUCGAGAGCCAGGAAGUGCAGGCCGGGGACCCGUGACCUCGUCAAAAAAGCGGGAACAUUACAACUGCCAACGAGCAGUUGGCUCUCGCUGCUUAAAUAGCGGCGACGGUCGCCCCGACCCCGCCUGUGGGGUUGGACGCGGGCGUCAGAUAAACGCAGGCUGGUCCAAGGCCCUCGCUCGUGGGCUGCGGACGAGAUCCAAUCGAGCUGGCGCGUCGCUGAUCCCGCCGGUCGGAGCGGACGGCGCGCGAGAUCCAAACGGCCGGACACGCCUGUAGGACUCCCUGGGGAACGGCUUUCGGACGCGGGUUCGAUUCCCGCCGCCUCCACCA